UUUACACAGAUAUACAAAGCUUGCUAUCCACAGUGGUAUCAGUGCAAUUAAAAUUAAUCUACCUGUUUCCACAGAUUCACUCUCAACUUCUUGUUCCUCUGCUACGUCUUGCAUCAGGUAAGUCUCGUCAUCAUAAACCAGGACCUGUGCAGCAUAUCCCUGUUCUAGUCUGGCACUAGGAACUGGCUCCACAAUCACGGCUGGGAAUUCAGGGACUGGCCCAUUUUCCUAUAUAAAGAGGGGGAAAAUAAAAUUAAAUUAAAUUAAAA